ACAGUUUCUGGAUGCAGAAUGUAAUGUUGCUGCGAGUCUCCGCCCUCCAAACUACAUUCCUGCGAGGAAAAGACGCUUUCAUCUGGAGUCCCGACGACUGAUGUCAGAGAAACAAAAGCACAAAACUGGCAUUCCUCUUCAGCUUCGAGUUCUCCUCUCUGAGUUCUGCAGAGCCUUGUACACCCGUUCCUGUUCCUGCUCCUGCUCCUGCCCCUGGAGUCCCAGGACUGCCCGGAACACCUGUCUUUUUACUCAGCAGACUGUUGAAGAAGUUGGCCAGCACUCCCUCAUUUGCAGCAGCUCCUAUAAACACAAACAAAUCAAAUGUAAUGACAUCAAGUGGCAAUGGAGAGGCCCAAACUAAUAUACAGGACAUAUUAACACCAUUUUAACAAUAAAGGGCUGUUGAUUUAGCA
rnacentral:lncRNA from 1 species